UACGUAGGGGGCUAGCGUUGUCCGGAUUUAUUGGGCGUAAAGAGCGCGUAGGCGGUCCGAUAAGUCGGCUGUGAAAGUCAGGGGCUCAACCCUUGAAAGCCGGCCGAUACUGUCGGACUAGAGUCCGGAAGAGGCGAGUGGAAUUCCCGGUGUAGCGGUGAAAUGCGCAGAUAUCGGGAGGAACACCGGUGGUGUAGACGGCUCUCUGGACCGUAACUGACGCUGAGACACGAAAGCGUGGGUAGCAAACAGG
rnacentral:rRNA from 1 species